AUUUAUCUAUUUAUUUAUUUUUUCUUCUUCCUCCUCUUCUUUUUUUUUUCUUCUUAUUUUCAUUACCUUCAUUCUGUCUGUGCUUUGAGGAGGAGGAGGAGGAGGAGGAGGAGGAGGAGGAGGAGGAGGAGGAGGAGGA